rnacentral:lncRNA from 1 species
GGGCCUUGAGACUCUUGGCUAACAUCCAAGCUGCGUCCGCAUCCAUAUCUACAACGAAAGAAGAUCGGCACAGCUUAGAAACAGAGCCACGAAAAAAGGGAGAGUUCUGGAACUAACCUAGGCUGGUUUGCAGGAUGCAGAGAUGCAGAGAUGGGGAUGACUCGAAGAACGCCUCAGGUCGAGAAGGAUGCUGGGGAAGAACGGAACUCUCAGGAAGAAGCAGGGAUCGAUGAAACUCCCAAGCAAAGUGAGACCCCUGA